rnacentral:rRNA from 1 species
UACACAUGCAAGUCGAACGGCAGCAUGAUCUAGCUUGCUAGAUUGAUGGCGAGUGGCGAACGGGUGAGUAAUACAUCGGAACGUGCCCUGUAGUGGGGGAUAACUAGUCGAAAGAUUAGCUAAUACCGCAUACGACCUGAGGGUGAAAGUGGGGGACCGCAAGGCCUCAUGCUAUAGGAGCGGCCGAUGUCUGAUUAGCUAGUUGGUGGGGUAAAGGCCCACCAAGGCGACGAUCAGUAGCUGGUCUGAGAGGACGAUCAGCCACACUGGGACUGAGACACGGCCCAGACUCCUACGGGAGGCAGCAGUGGGGAAUUUUGGACAAUGGGCGAAAGCCUGAUCCAGCAAUGCCGCGUGUGUGAAGAAGGCCUUCGGGUUGUAAAGCACUUUUGUCCGGAAAGAAAUGGCUCUGGUUAAUACCUGGGGUCGAUGACGGUACCGGAAGAAUAAGGACCGGCUAACUACGUGCCAGCAGCCGCGGUAAUACGUAGGGUCCAAGCGUUAAUCGGAAUUACUGGGCGUAAAGCGUGCGCAGGCGGUUGUGCAAGACCGAUGUGAAAUCCCCGAGCUUAACUUGGGAAUUGCAUUGGUGACUGCACGGCUAGAGUGUGUCAGAGGGGGGUAGAAUUCCACGUGUAGCAGUGAAAUGCGUAGAGAUGUGGAGGAAUACCGAUGGCGAAGGCAGCCCCCUGGGAUAACACUGACGCUCAUGCACGAAAGCGUGGGGAGCAAACAGGAUUAGAUACCCUGGUAGUCCACGCCCUAAACGAUGUCAACUAGUUGUUGGGGAUUCAUUUCCUUAGUAACGUAGCUAACGCGUGAAGUUGACCGCCUGGGGAGUACGGUCGCAAGAUUAAAACUCAAAGGAAUUGACGGGGACCCGCACAAGCGGUGGAUGAUGUGGAUUAAUUCGAUGCAACGCGAAAAACCUUACCUACCCUUGACAUGCCACUAACGAAGCAGAGAUGCAUUAGGUGCUCGAAAGAGAAAGUGGACACAGGUGCUGCAUGGCUGUCGUCAGCUCGUGUCGUGAGAUGUUGGGUUAAGUCCCGCAACGAGCGCAACCCUUGUCUCUAGUUGCUACGAAAGGGCACUCUAGAGAGACUGCCGGUGACAAACCGGAGGAAGGUGGGGAUGACGUCAAGUCCUCAUGGCCCUUAUGGGUAGGGCUUCACACGUCAUACAAUGGUGCAUACAGAGGGUUGCCAAGCCGCGAGGUGGAGCUAAUCCCAGAAAA